rnacentral:rRNA from 1 species
AACGAACGCUGGCAGCGUGGAUUAGGCAUGCCAGUCGAACGGGAUCCGGAAGGUAGCAAUACCGGCCGGUGAGAGUGGCGGAAGGGCGAGGAGCACGUGGACAACCUGUCCCGUGGGUGGGGAUACCGUCCCGAAAGGGGCGUUAAUACCGAAUGGGGCCCCGGACCGCAUGGUCCGGCGGCCAAAGGCGGGGACCGCAAGGCCCGCCCCCCCGGGAGGGGUCCGCGCACCAUCAGCUAGACGGCGGGGUAACGGCCCACCGUGGCUUACGGUUAGCUGGUCUGAGAGGACGACCAGCCGCACUGGGACUGAGACACUGCCCAGACUCCUACGGGAGGCUGCAGUCGAGGAUCAUUCGCAAUGGGCGAAAGCCUGACGAUGCGACGCUGCGUGGAGGAUGAAGGCCCUCGGGUCGUAAACUCCUGUCAUGGGGGGCGAGGCGGAGGCGGUUAACGGCCGCCCGAGUUGACGGUACCCCAAGAGGAAGCCACGGCUAACUCUGUG